rnacentral:rRNA from 1 species
AGAGUUUGAUUCUGGCUCAGGAUGAACGCUGGCGGCGUGCUUAACACAUGCAAGUCGAAUGUAGCAAUACAUGGCGGACGGGUGAGUAACGCGUGAGCAAUCUGCCCAUGUCUGGGGGAUAACAGUUGGAAACGACUGAUAAUACCGCAUAAUAUGGUUUGAAGGCAUCUUCUUUCCAUCAAAGAUUUAUCGGAUAUGGAUGAGCUCGCGUCUGAUUAGCUUGUUGGUGAGGUAACGGCUCACCAAGGCGACGAUCAGUAGCCGACCUGAGAGGGUGAUCGGCCACAUUGGAACUGAGACACGGUCCAAACUCCUACGGGAGGCAGCAGUGGGGAAUAUUGGGCAAUGGAGGCAACUCUGACCCAGCAACGCCGCGUGAAUGAUGAAGGUCUUCGGAUUGUAAAGUUCUUUUCUAAGGGAAGAAGAAAGUGACGGUACCUUAGGAAUAAGCCUCGGCUAACUACGUGCCAGCAGCCGCGGUAAUACGUAGGAGGCAAGCGUUAUCCGGAAUGACUGGGCGUAAAGGGUGCGUAGGUGGUUUGACAAGUUAGUAGCGCAACUCCGGAGCUCAACUUCGGAACUACUACUAAAACUGUUGGACUUGAGUGCAGGAGGGGCAAUCGGAAUUCCUAGUGUAGCGGUGGAAUGCGU